UUUUCCGCACACAGGCCCAUCUAUCCUUUUUUUUAGUAACACGUCCAGAGUCGCUCCAACACAUUUCUCGGCCCAUAGUCAUUCUACAGCCCAUUUAGUCCGUCGGCUCACUUUCACAAUACACAGUCUCGUGCUCACUCCCACAGACCAGCGCCGCCGCCGCCGCCGCCAGCACCGAUGCCGGAGAACGGCCGGGAAAUAUGGCCUUGCCGGGGAUCCCCAACGAGCUCCUGGCGGAUAUCUUCCUCCGCCUUCCCACCCCAGAGGACCUCAUCCGCGCCUCCGCCGCCUGCGUCUCCUUCCGUCGCCUCAUCGCCGACCGCACCUUCCUCCGGCGCUUCCGCAAGCUCCACCCCGCGCCCCUCCUCGGCUUCGUCGACUACAGAGGCUUCCACCCCGCCGAACUGCCUCACCCCUCCGCGCCGGCGGCCAGCGCCGCGGACUUCGACUUCAACUUCCUCCCCGAUGGCGAUACAGACUUGGACUGGACCGUGCGGAAGUCCGCGACGGCCGCAUCCUCCUCGACAGACCCCGCCGUCACGACGACCUCGAACCCCUCUUCAGGGAGAUGGCGGUGUGCGACCCCCUGCACCGGUAGUACCUCCUGCUCCCCCCAAUCCCCAAUCACCUAGCCGCUCCGGUUGUGAGCCAACUCUUGAUGGAAAGGUCGUGCUUGGCCCAAUGCUUCCUCGCCCCUCCCAGCGAUGACCAAGUGGAGGAGACGUCAUUCAGAGUGAUCUGGCUGCUGGUGCUCCAGACCAGACCGGUGGCCCUUGUAUUCUCCUCCGGCACAGGGCAAUGGCAAGCCCUGAGUCGGAGCGAGCCGUUACCUGCCUUUUUGUUAUCGACGUGGAAGGUUUGGUUUGUGUCGCGCCAUUACGCACAUGGUUGCUUCUAUUGGGUUUCAGGUUCAGGUGAAAAACUGCUCGUGCUUGACAUCCAGAGGAUGGAGUUCUCCAUGGCUGACCACCCACCCUGUGUCAGAUUUCGGGGCGACGAUGUGGCAAUCGCGGAGGCAGGCCAAGGCAUGACUGUGAUGUUUGUGCCUAAACCGGACACAGAUCGCCGUAUUUAUACCGUUUGGCGGCGAAGCAAUGGUGGGAGUUCCGCCCAGUGGCAGAUGGAGACUGAGACGUUCUCGCUGGAUUCUGGGUCCUUGAUCAAGGGUGCAGUGGGGAGGCACUUGCUCCUAUAUCAUGUCGGAAGCGUGUCGGUCAAACCAGGUUGUUACAUCCGGGAUGUCAACACUUUGCAGCUUGAGAGGGUGUGUGAUUCAUAUCCCCAUCCGUCAGAAGUAUAUUGCAACUUCCCACCAUCGUUAUUAUCAUCACCGAUGGUGUCAAGUGGUAAACCUUCUGUUGCAUGCUAGUUACCUCCUUUCAUUUGUAGUUAUAACUAUCACAUUGCUUGUCCGAUACUUGCUAGCUCAUUAUUGUGAUCAGUAAGUAUUUGUUACAUAGUUUAGUGGUUGCUGCUUUUCUUUGUGCUUGUGGCAAAGCUGAUCAAGCUAAUUUGUUUGUCUUUUCUAUGCGCCAUCUUGAGGUAAUUAGAGAAGUGAAAGGGAGGAUCUAACACACUAUAAGUAGAAUUCUAGGGGUAUUGCUGCCAGUUCAUCUUUGCAGUGUUCCGUUUUAGACACAUUUAUUCCAGUCAAGCAGGACUUAUGCUAUCUGGAAGUCUUAUGUGGUCACCGUUACUUAUGUCGAUUUCAUAUAAAAAAUUAUCUUCAGAUAUACUCCCUCCGUCCCGAAAUAAGUGCCGCUGAUUUAAGAGGGAGUAAGAGGAAAACAUGUCUUUUUGGUAUCCGAUGUGAAAUUUUUGAAUGACGAACCAAAUGAUAUUAUUUGCAUUUGUCUGAUCACAAUAAUCCUUGUUGCACCUCACAGUGCAUCUUUUUUAGCAAGAAUUUGCUGACACUUAAUAGAGAUUGGUAGUACUUUCAUGGGAUGCUAAUGAUGGGUAUAUUGAUUGUGUUGUAGUUUGCGUUGUGGCUGGAAUUGAGCAAUUUUUAGGCGUACACAUCCGGCCAUCCAUUGGAGAUUUAAGGGCUCGAGUCCUUAAGUGCUUUUGGUCCUUCAGAUUUGGGAACCUUGUCAGUAGGCCACAAUAUAUAGUGUCUGUUUAGUCCCUGUCUUAUCCUUUUGCCGUGUCUUCCUAAAACAUAUGUCAGGCCCCAAAACGCUAUCAUGCACAUCUGGCCAUCCACUGGAGAUUUAAGGGCUUGAGCCAUUAAGUGAACUCAUCGCCGACUUCCACUUACUGCUUCGCGUCACCUCUCCGCAAGUUGGGGCACUCUAUUUCACCUAUAGCAAGUUACUAAAUUUUCACCCAUGAAAACAAAUUCACCUAUAAUGAUUAAUAGCACUCCAAUCAUUUUACAACUAAGCCUUUGUUUAGUCUACUGGUGCAGUUGAACUUACAACCUAGGAGUCUCUGGCAGAUCGCUGUUGGUGCUUUCUAUGUGCAAAUGCUUUUUUUUACUUUAAUCAUCUUCCUCUCCGUUAUGUCUGUGAUUCCUUCCCAUCCAUGCCCUUUUGUUGAAGCAGGGCCACACACAUACUAUAGAGCACGGCACAGUUGCCCUGGUUGCUGCAUCAUGCAUUUUUUGCUCAAUUUUGUUUGUCGGCAGCCAGCAUGACCGAGCUUAACUUUGCAAGUAUAGCUAACAAAAAAAUUGUUUGCAGAACUUUGCUGAAUUUUGUGAGUACUUAAUUGCUGGAUUUGAUAUUGGGUUAUCUACUCAUAAGUUGCCUGCAUAUUUUUUUUGGUAAAUCUCAAUCGCAUCACAAAGCUUUUAAACAUUCAACGACGAGAAGGCUUGGAGUAGCGUAGUUUUUUUUUAAUAUAGUUUUGAUAUCUUUUGGAACUUGCUUUAGAUGGGUAUAUCAGGCUGUCCUGGAUGCUUCUUUCGUUUUGCUGCAAAUUGCAGGGCCCCUGCGUCGUUACCCUCGCUUUGCAGUCCCACGCCACGCUGACCACCCAGGAGUGGACGACACUGUGCCGGCACCAGAACCACGAGCUGACCCUGGAGGCGUGGAAGGACCUACUGGUCAAGAACUGACGGGCCUCGCCGGGGGACCGCCGUGCAAGCGCCGUCGUCGCUGCGGCCGCUCAGGCUCCAGAACCCGCGGAGGCAGGUCGCGGUGGAUGGGGAGAAGGAGGCUGAGGCUUGACCCGUGGUGGAUGAGGGCCUGGGGGCGGAUGAGGGGCCAGAUCAAGGUGUUGUCCAGGACGGCUGCGACCAAGUCCUUUGGCGGCAGGGGCUUGCCUUGAUCAGGAUGUGCUAGCUGCUAGCUCAUGGGGAAUCGGAAUGACUCAAUACUACUGGUCUGCUGCAUGUUGAUCUUUUUGGUCUCAGAACACAAAACAGUACCGUUGUCAACACCGAAAUGGCUUGUUCUACUCCCUCCGUUCCUAAAUAUAAGGCGUUGCCUCGUUGGGGCAAUGUAAACUGAACCCCCAGCGGCUUAUAUUUCGGAGCAGAGGUAAUAGUUACGAAGUCAAGCCGCAGUCUUUGAGAGCCAGUGUAGAUCGACGUCUGCACGGCUAUGUUGCUGCGAGAUUUUUUCCAUCCAAGCAUGAAGGCACUACUUGAACUUGAUUCUUGUUGGUCCA